CCAGUAAUGGAGAAAGAAAAAAAAAGGCGUAAGGAGUCUUUGACGGAAAAUGAAAAAUUAAAUCGGAUGUUAGUAUACAAACGUAUGUUUCGGGCAGAGGUGAGAAAAGUGAUUGCCAAUCGAUAUUGGUUGGAAGAGAUGGACGAACGAAAAAUACUGGGCGACAAUGUCAAACAAAAUUUUCUUUUAAUUAC